AUUUAACGUGGGUGGGAAGGAAAAGCCUCCCACAAGGCAUUGUAUUUGUCCCCCCCCUGAAGGGUUAUUCGCCCACUUGGGGAUUGAACCCCGCCCCAGAUUCCUAGGGGAGGCAGCAGUGAGGAUUUCUCCCCAAGGGGCCCCAAGUUUUGAUGGAACAACCCCCCUUGAAUGAAGAAGGGUUUCGGCUCGUAAAGCUCUGUUGUUAAAGAAGAACGUGGGUAAGAGUAACUGUUUACCCAGUGACGGUAUUUAACCAGAAAGCCACGGCUAACUACGUGCCAGCAGCCGCGGUAAUACGUAGGUGGCAAGCGUUAUCCGGAUUUAUUGGGCGUAAAGCGAGCGCAGGCGGUCUUUUAAGUCUAAUGUGAAAGCCUUCGGCUCAACCGAAGAAGUGCAUUGGAAACUGGGAGACUUGAGUGCAGAAGAGGACAGUGGAACUCCAUGUGUAGCGGUGAAAUGCGUAGAUAUAUGGAAGAACACCAGUGGCGAAGGCGGCUGUCUGGUCUGCAACUGACGCUGAGGCUCGAAAGCAUGGGUAGCGAACAGGAUUAGAUACCCUGGUAGUCCAUGCCGUAAACGAUGAUUACUAAGUGUUGGAGGGUUUCCGCCCUUCAGUGCUGCAGCUAACGCAUUAAGUAAUCCGCCUGGGGAGUACGACCGCAAGGUUGAAACUCAAAAGAAUUGACGGGGGCCCGCACAAGCGGUGGAGCAUGUGGUUUAAUUCGAAGCUACGCGAAGAACCUUACCAGGUCUUGACAUCUUCUGACAGUCUAAGAGAUUAGAGGUUCCCUUCGGGGACAGAAUGACAGGUGGUGCAUGGUUGUCGUCAGCUCGUGUCGUGAGAUGUUGGGUUAAGUCCCGCAACGAGCGCAACCCUUAUUACUAGUUGCCAGCAUUAAGUUGGGCACUCUAGUGAGACUGCCGGUGACAAACCGGAGGAAGGUGGGGACGACGUCAAAUCAUCAUGCCCCUUAUGACCUGGGCUACACACGUGCUACAAUGGAUGGUACAACGAGUCGCGAGACCGCGAGGUUAAGCUAAUCUCUUAAAACCAUUCUCAGUUCGGACUGUAGGCUGCAACUCGCCUACACGAAGUCGGAAUCGCUAGUAAUCGCGGAUCAGCAUGCCGCGGUGAAUACGUUCCCGGGCCUUGUACACACCGCCCGUCACACCAUGAGAGUUUGUAACACCCAAAGCCGGUGGGGUAACCUUUUAGGAGCUAGCCGUCUAAGGUGACAGAGAUUGGU
rnacentral:rRNA from 1 species